UAGGCUACCAUGGUUUUGACGGGUAACGGGGAAUUAGGGUUCUAUUCCGGAGAGGGAGCCUGAGAAACGGUAACAAUCCAAGGAGGCAGCAGGCGCGCAAAUUACCCAAUCCCAGAUACGGGGGAGGUAGUGACAAUAAAUACUGAUACUAAGGGCUCUUUUGGGUCUUGUAAUUGGAAUGAGUACAAUUUAAAUCCCUUAACGAGGAACAAUUGGAGGGCAAGUCUGGUGCCAGCAGCCGCGGGUAAUUCCAGCUCCAAUAGCGUAUAUUACAGUUGUUGCAGUUAAAAAGCUCGUAGUUUGAACUUCCGGGAUCUGGCUGAUCUGUCCUGCCCUAAUCGAGCGCAA
rnacentral:rRNA from 1 species